rnacentral:rRNA from 1 species
GCAAAAGCUCAAAUUUGAAACCCUCGGGAUUGUAAUUUGAAGACGUGGCAUUGGAGAAAGCUACCCCAAGUUGCUUGGAAUAGCACGUCAUAGAGGGUGACAACCCCGUUUGGCUAACCGUUCUCCAUGUAUUGCCUAGUCAAAGAGUCGAGUUGUUUGGGAAUGCAGCUCAAAGUGGGUGGUAAACUCCAUCUAAAGCUAAAUACUGGUGAGAGACCGAUAGCGAACAAGUACUGUGAAGGAAAGGUGAAAAGAACUUUGAAAAGAGAGUGAAAUAGUAUGUGAAAUCGUUGAUAGGGAAGGAAAUGAGCGCAGAGUGGACAAGGUUUCAGCGUCCCCUCGGGGACGUGUACUGCCGAGUCCGAGUCAACGACAGCGAGACGGGGCCA